UACGGGGGGGGCAAGCGUUGUUCGGAAUUACUGGGCGUAAAGGGUUCGUAGGUGGCCUACUAAGUCAGACGUGAAAUCCCUCAGCUUAACUGGGGAACUGCGUCUGAUACUGGUAGGCUUGAGUGCAGGAGAGGAACGCGGAAUUCCACGUGUAGCAGUGAAAUGCGUAGAGAUGUGGAGGAACACCGAUGGCGAAGGCAGCCCCCUGGGCUAACACUGACGCUCAGGCACGAAAGCGUGGGGAGCAAACAGG
rnacentral:rRNA from 1 species